AUGGUUUCGUGGAGCGACGACAGCGAGGAAUCGGGCUACGAGUACUCUUCAGGCGGCUCCCCUAUCAAGAUCCCGGCUACAAUCGAGGACCCGAACUACUCUGGUGUUGAUGAUGAGGUGAUGGUGAUGUGUGAGCAUGGCCAGCCGGCGAAGAGGCAUGUUUGCUUCGAAGGGAUUAGCACUGGGAGGAGGUUCAUUGCCUGUGGACUUGAUGAAGUAAGCAGUUGUGGUGUUGUUCAUUGGGACAAUAUUCCCAAGGAAAAUGAAGUCCAACAAGGUGAACAUGAGGAGAUCACUCCUCCUUUGGACAACAAUAUUUCAGCUUUGAAGGAACAGCUGGGUGCAAUGGAUGCUGAGAACAAAGAACUGAAGCAAAAGGUUGACCAGUUGAAGAGCAUUCAGGUUGCCCAAGGUAAUGUGAUUAGGAAUCUGAAGUUUGCUCAUUUGAAGGAGAAGGAAAAGUUGAGCACUGAGAGGAGGAAUUUGGAGUUUCACAUUGCUGAUCUUGUCAAAGCUAGUGACAAGAACAAGAGAAAGCUUAAGGACAUCAAGGAUAUUUGCGAUGAAGAGUGA
rnacentral:rRNA from 1 species